rnacentral:rRNA from 1 species
UGGCUCAGAACGAACGCUGGCGGCAUGCCUUACACAUGCAAGUCGAACGGCAGCAUAGGAGCUUGCUCCUGAUGGCGAGUGGCGAACGGGUGAGUAAUAUAUCGGAACGUGCCCUAGAGUGGGGGAUAACUAGUCGAAAGAUUAGCUAAUACCGCAUACGAUCUACGGAUGAAAGUGGGGGAUCGCAAGACCUCAUGCUCCUGGAGCGGCCGAUAUCUGAUUAGCCAGUUGGUGGGGUAAAAGCCUACCAAGGCGACGAUCAGUAGCUGGUCUGAGAGGACGACCAGCCACACUGGGACUGAGACACGGCCCAGACUCCUACGGGAGGCAGCAGUGGGGAAUGCUGGACAAUGGGGGCAACCCUGAUCCAGCAAUGCCGCGUGAGUGAAGAAGGCCUUCGGGUUGUAAAGCUCUUUUGUCAGGGAAGAAGUUUGGCUAAUAUCCAGAACUAAUGACGGUACCUGAAGAAUAAGCACCGGCUAACUACGUGCCAGCAGCCGCGGUAAUACGUAGGGUGCAAGCGUUAAUCGGAAUUACUGGGCGUAAAGCGUGCGCAGGCGGUUGUGUAAGACAGAUGUGAAAUCCCCGGGCUCAACCUGGGAAUUGCAAUUGUGACUGCACGGCUAGAGUGUGUCAGAGGGGGGUAGAAUUCCACGUGUAGCAGUGAAAUGCGUAGAUAUGUGGAGGAAUACCGAUGGCGAAGGCAGCCCCCUGGGAUAACACUGACGCUCAUGCACGAAAGCGUGGGGAGCAAACAGGAAUAGAUAGCUGGUAGUCCACGCCCUAAACGAUGUCUACUAGUUGUCGGGUCUUAAUUGACUUGGUAACGCAGCUAACGCGUGAAGUAGACCGCCUGGGGAGUACGGUCGCAAGAUUAAGACUCAAAGGAAUUGACGGGGACCCGCACAAGCGGUGGAUGAUGUGGAUUAAUUCGAUGCAACGCGAAAAACCUUACCUACCCUUGACAUGGUCGGAAUCCUGAAGAGAUUUGGGAGUGCUCGAAGGAGAACGGCGCACAGGUGCUGCAUGGCUGUCGUCAGGUCGUGUCGUGAGAUGUUGGGUUAAGUCCCGCAACGAGCGCAACCCUUGUCAUUAGUUGCUACGAAAGGGCACUCUAAUGAGACUGCCGGUGACAAACCGGAGGAAGGUGGGGAUGACGUCAAGUCCUCAUGGCCCUUAUGGGUAAGGCUUCACACGUCAUACAAUGGUACAAACAGAGGGCCGCCAACCCGCCAGGGGGAGCUAAUCCCAGAAAGUGUAUCGUAGUCCGGAUUGGAGUCUGCAACUCGACUCCAUGAAGUUGGAAUCGCUAGUAAUCGCGGAUCAGCAUGUCGCGGUGAAUCCGAUCCCGGGUCUUGUACACACCGCCCGUCACACCAUGGGAGCGGGUUUUACCAGAAGUGGGUAGCCUAACCGCAAGGAGGGCGCUCACCACGGUAGGAUUCGU